AUUAACGCGAAGAACCUUACCUGGGCUUGAACUGCAGUGGACCGGUGCAGAGAUGCGCCUUUUCGCAAGAACUGCUGCAGAGGUGCUGCAUGGCUGUCGUCAGCUCGUGUCGUGAGAUGUUGGGUUAAGUCCCGCAACGAGCGCAACCCUUACCCGUAGUUGCCAGCGCGUCAAGGCGGGAACUCUACGGGGACUGCCCGGGUUAACCGGGAGGAAGGUGGGGAUGAUGUCAAGUCCUCAUGGCCCUUAUGUCCAGGGCUACACACGUGCUACAAUGGGCGAUACAAACCGUUGCAAAGUCGCGAGAUGGAGCUAAUCGGAGAAAGUCGUCCUCAGUUCGGAUUGCAGUCUGCAACUCGACUGCAUGAAGGUGGAAUCGCUAGUAAUCGUGUAUCAGAAUGAUACGGUGAAUACGUUCCCGGGUCUUGUACACACCGAAU
rnacentral:rRNA from 1 species